rnacentral:lncRNA from 1 species
GAGACAGAGUCUCGCUCUGUCGCCCAGGCUGGAGUGCAGUGGUGCGAUCUCGGCUCACUGCAAGCUCCUCCUCCUGGGUUCACGCCAUUCUCCUGCCUCAGCCUCCCAGAUAGCUGGGACUACAGGCACCAGCCACCACGCCCGGCUAAUUUUUUGUAUUUUUAGUAGAGACGGGGUUUCACUGUGUUAGCCAGGAUGGUCUCGAUCUUCUGACCUCGUGAUCUGCCCGCCUCGGCCUCCCAAAGUGGAAAUUUUUUUUUUUAAGUUACAGAAACCACAGUUGAGAAUUUCACAGUAAUCAACCCACUGGCACGUCUGUUAUGAGGUCUUCAUCAUCCCACAAACGCGUUGUUCCGCCUUGAUCUUGUGAGGCGCUGGCCCUCUUCUUGUGGAGUUCUCACCGGCUCAGAGGGUCAGUGUGAGUGAGCCGAUGUGUGCCGCACACCCAGGAUGUCUACAGGACUGGGGGCUGGAAAAUUGAGUGACAUCUCUUGCCCUGGCACCUGUGGCAGGCAGUUCUGGGUAACCAACAGGAAUCCCUCAGGCUGUGGGGCUGGACGGGAGACUGCAGCCUCCUGACUGAGUGUGCAGGUGGGAGACGCCGCCGAGUCACUUGUUGGAACGUGGCCCGAAACAAACUGCGGGUUUUGCUGGGCCCUCCCUGUUGCUACUGGAAGAGUCCUGUCACAUGGAUAAGCACCCCGCCCCUCACGGCCCCAGGACAUCGGGUGCCCUUCAAGGUCCAGGGGAAGGCGCCCUGCCUGGCGCAGCCUGGAGUCUCCCGUCCACAGCCGGGGACUGCUUCACACCUGGUGCCCACAUUCUGCCUCUCGUUAAACAUUGCAUGCGAUUCCUGCGAGUUCUCUGGCAUGAGACGAUGACCUAGUAAUGGGGUCGCAGCAGGGACGGGAAGCUGGCCAGGCGCAGGCUGUGCUCGCAGGGACGGGAAGCUGGCCAGGCGCAGGCUGCGGUGUGGCACAGGGGGACCAACCAGAGGGAAAGGCUGACCCCCUGGGUGCCUCAGAGUCUGGCACAUUCCAGCCUCUCCAUGGCCCGGCUCUCAUGGGAUGCUCCAUCCAGGGGGCAUUUUGCAGACUGGGGAUAGGACUGUCACGGUGAUGGGGGGCACUGAUGGUCACCCCCGUGCAGGGCCCUGGGCCGAAGCCCCGCCCCUCCUGCCCCUGCCGGCUGGGCCCUGGCAGCUCCCCCUACCCCCUCACCUUUGAAGAAAACCACAUUCCCGCCAAGUCUGCCUUCCUCAAAGGAUGGACUUGGUGUUCAUGUCUGUGUCUCGGGACUCUGAGCGAUGGGACAGCAUCUGGAAUGUCACUGAGCCAUCCGCGACUUCGGGAGCUUGUGGGAUGUGGCGUCAGGCAUGGGGCGGCUCCUCAGGGCUUCUGGAAGGUUGUAGGCGCAACUUCCUUUUGUCUCUCCUUUUUAUUGUAGUGAGGAAGCAGGAUUCAGAUUUGAAAAUGAUGUUUAUAAGUAGAUGCUAAACUCAAAUGAUAAGAUGUGUGACCGAAAAAGGAGGCACGGACUCAGCGCCUGGAGAAACACCCGGAAUCGUGCUCCCAGCAGGAUGCAGCCCCCUGAGCACCAGCACGGUGGGCCUGACGGGGCGGGGGCGGCUCUGCAGGAGCAGGAGUCCUGUGGGCUUGGUGGGGGCGCACACUGGGCUUUCUCCAGCUGAUCUUACAUUUUAAGUAGAGACACAAAUCGGGGAAGGUGUCUGCUAUCUUAAGUCUUGGCCGCAUGGGGCCACUGCUACAGGGAUCACUGUGUGGCCUCCUGGCCCCGUCCUAAGGCAAGUGCCUGGCCUCCUGGCCCCAUCCUAAGGCAAGCGCCUGGCCUCCUGGCCCCGUCCUAAGGCGAGUGCCUGGCCUCCUGCUCUUCGGGCUUCAGGGCUCCUGCAGAGGGUGGCUCCUUCUUCCUUUCCAUAUGCUGUGGUCAUCGUCUCUUUGUAAGUUCAGUCUCUCACUGGGGCCCACAGGUGGUGGUUUCUUGCUUGUGACGCUGAAAAAUUGUCAAAGUCAAGGAAGCUAAGAGCGGGGCUUGCUUUUAUUCUAUGCUGUCCUCAAGGUCAAGCACAGAGAAUUCCAGGGUGGGUGUAUCCUGUGCAUUGUGGAAAUGCUCAGAGCCCCUGGGCCCCGGGGGGAAGAUCCACAGGGGAGAGGUGAGCCCUGUUGUCACCUUUGUUGGAUGUCCAGCACCGUACCUCUCUCGGGGGAGGGGGAUUGGGGUGGGGCCGCGCCGGCUGCUGUGAGCCCUUCCUGCAGGAAGGUGGGCUCAGAUCAUGAAGCACUGCCUCCAGGAGGCAGGAGCUGGAAGACGGGGCUCCAAGGCCCUGUGGCCCCUGGCUGAGCAGUGUGACCAUGAGCGCAGGCACCAUCCAUCCACGUGGAGACAGAGCAGCCGCACAGGGCGGACGGCGUAUCAGAGCAGGUGAGCUGACAGCUGGGCUCCAGCAAGAGCUUUCCAGGAAUCGCUGUCAGGGCUGGGAGGAGCAGUGGCCCCAGGUUGGGAGGAGACGUGACAGGACCGGGCCUGGGGAAGCGUGUGCUGGCGUCAGGGAGAAGACGGCAGCCGCGACAUCUGGCACCUGGGGCUGCAGAGCCUGAGCACCCCGGACCGCGCCCGGCGAGGGCGGCCUCCCUGCGCUGAGCGCGACCUGCGUGUCCUGCUCUCGGCUUUCGUGCCGGUUCAGAAGAACAAGGCCGGAAGGUUGCGGUCUCAGCGCUCGCUCCAUGCCGGGAGCGCGCAGAGCUGAGGGCGCUUGCGUGUCCGGCACAGCGUGGAGCCCGCGUUCCUCUCUGCACUCAGGAGCUGCGUCCCGUUCCGUGCUGGCGAUGAGGACGCCGGCCUCCGCCAGGCCGAGUCAGCACUCUGUCCCCGGGGUCUGACUCCGUGGCCCCUGUCCUCGCUGGGUCUCCCCGUUCCAACUUUAGUGACACGGUCUCAGGAGAGGAUGCAGGCAGAACGGGCUUUCCUUUUUCCUGCCCUGGGGGCUGACAUCUGCCUCACGGAUGCCACCCACUGAAAGGGCAGCCCUUGUCGCCUUAACUCGUUUUCCAUCUCAGUUACCGUCCUCGGCAGGGCACUGUCACAUCCUAACGUGAGGACGAAAUGGGCUUGACCUCCCAGCAGCAGCCGCCCCGGUGGCUGCAGGUACCCCCGAGGCCGGCCCCAGACACUGAAAGGGAAGCAGCCAGCCUGACCAGGGAGGAACCGGUGUCAACGCGCUCAGAUUCCAGAGCCGGCACCGUGCCAUAGGGCAGGAGAGAAGGAGGACAUGAGGCGCAGGACGCAAGUUCAGGCCACCCUGACCCUGAAGAGGGUGCAGCCACCCCGCAGCACACGCUGAUAAAAGGGUCUCUUCUGUUGUGGGCUCCGAGGCCUGCAGAGCCGAGACCUGACCUGAUAAAGCCAGAGCAAGGGGCUGCAGCCACCGCAGGAGGCUUCAACGAUUCAUGGUGAAAGGUCCGACUGAGAGCCCUGGAGUGUGUUAUCCCAGGAGAGCUCCUUGAGUGUGACUGAGAAAUAGAUCUGGGGUCCUGUCACCAAGGCGGUGUAUAAACAGUUUACAAAUGACAGCAGAUACGAAUCACCGAAGCCAGGCAGAACACCCCUCGUUCGUCCACGAUAGAGCUCUAGUCUUGCAGGGGUUCAGUGGUUUAAGGAAGAUGCGUUGUUGGGGAGCCACAGUCCCUGGCUUAUCACACAUCUUGCCAUGGCUUGAUUCAGGCCAACAUUGAUACUGCAUUUCAGUUAAGUUGAAUUAGACACUGCAAGUCAAUGUCAGUUGUUUUGGGCUUCAGUUCACAUCUGGUUCAGCUCAAGUUGUUAGUCCAGGGUUGGGAAGAGAAGUGGCGCUGGGCUUAGGCGUCCUCAUCUCCCGAACCUGCCUGACACUGUGACACUGGGUUGGGUGGGAGUGGGAAAAGAGGGGAAGGGAUUCUGAAAAUACUAAUUCUAAUUUUGCAAUCUAUCUUUACAAAUAUCAUCCCAGGGCUCCUUGGAGAAGCAGCUGAUCCCAGCUCCGGGGCACAGAAAGUUUCCGGUAAGCCUGGGGCUUCAGGGCCUUCAGAGCAAGAAAGUGCCCUUGGCAAUGGGGCAGGUGGAGAAAAUGCAGGAGCCAGCCCGGAGAGGCUCCCACUGCCCAAAGAAGAACCUGGGAGUCCACGAAGUGGGAAGGGGGAUUAGGGAGAGAGACGGAGAGCUGGGGGCAGGGGAAACAGGUAAGCCAGAGAGAGAGCUGGUGGGCAGGGACAGGAGAGGCAGAGAGCGAGGGAGACGGGCAGGGUGGGGGAGAAGACUGAGGGGAGAGAGAGGCUGAGACGGAGUGGGAGGGGGGAGAAGACUGAGGGGAGAGAGAGGCUGAGACGGAGCGGGAGGGGAGGGCAUCUGGUUUCCCUUCGGCAGCCACUCUGACAUCAUUGUCAACUCUACUCGGAAAUCGGUGAGGAAAGGGACUGACUUCAGCAGUUCCCCCUUGCUUAAGAGAAAGUGUG